GAUGAACGCUGGCGGCGUGCCUAAUACAUGCAAGUCGAGCGAACGGACGAGAAGCUUGCUUCUCUGAUGUUAGCGGCGGACGGGUGAGUAACACGUGGAUAACCUACCUAUAAGACUGGGAUCACUUCGGGAAACCGGAGCUAAUACCGGAUGAUAUUUUGAACCGCAUGGUUCAAAAGUGAAGGACGGUCUUGCUGUCACUUCUCGAUGGUUCCGCGCUGCAUUAGCUAGUUGGUAAGGUAACGGCUUACCACGGCAACGAUGCAUAGCCGACCUGAGAGAGUGAUCGGCCACACUGGAGCUGGAACGCGGUCCAGACUCCUGCGGGACGGAGCAGUAGGGAAUCUUCCGCAAUAGGCGAGAGCCUGACAGAGCAACGCCGCGUGAGAGAUGAAGGUCUUCGGAUCGUAAAACUGUGUUAUUAGGGAAGAACAGAUGUGUAAGUAACUGUGCACAUCUUGACGGUACCUAGUCAGAAAGCCACGGCUAACUACGUG
rnacentral:rRNA from 1 species